rnacentral:rRNA from 1 species
GAUGAACGCUGGCGGCGUGCCUAAUACAUGCAAGUCGAGCGAAGAGAUGAGGAGCUUGCUCCUCUGACGUUAGCGGCGGACGGGUGAGUAACACGUGGAUAACCUACCUAUAAGACUGGGAUAACUUCGGGAAACCGUAGCUAAUACCGGAUAAUAUAUUUAACCGCAUGGUUCAAUAGUGAAAGACGGUUUUGCUGUCACUUAUAGAUGGAUCCGCGCCGCAUUAGCUAGUUGGUAAGGUAACGGCUUACCAAGGCAACGAUGCGUAGCCGACCUGAGAGGGUGAUCGGCCACACUGGAACUGAGACACGGUCCAGACUCCUACGGGAGGCAGCAGUAGGGAAUCUUCCGCAAUGGGCGAAAGCCUGACGGAGCAACGCAGCGUGAGUGAUGAAGGUCUUCGGAUCGUAAAACUCUGUUAUUAGGGAAGAACAAAUGUGUAAGUAAAUAUGCACGUCUUGACGGUACCUACUCAGAAAGCAACGGCUAACUACGUG